UAGGGAAUCUUCGGCAAUGGACGGAAGUCUGACCGAGCAACGCCGCGUGAGUGAAGAAGGUUUUCGGAUCGUAAAGCUCUGUUGUAAGAGAAGAACGAGUGUGAGAGUGGAAAGUUCACACUGUGACGGUAUCUUGCCAGAAAGGGACGGCUAACUACGUGCCAGCAGCCGCGGUAAUACGUAGGUCCCGAGCGUUGUCCGGAUUUAUUGGGCGUAAAGCGAGCGCAGGCGGUUAGAUAAGUCUGAAGUUAAAGGCUGUGGCUUAACCAUAGUAGGCUUUGGAAACUGUUUAACUUGAGUGCAAGAGGGGAGAGUGGAAUUCCAUGUGUAGCGGUGAAAUGCGUAGAUAUAUGGAGGAACACCGGUGGCGAAAGCGGCUCUCUGGCUUGUAACUGACGCUGAGGCUCGAAAGCGUGGGGAGCAAACAGGAUUAGAUACCCUGGUAGUCCACGCCGUAAACGAUGAGUGCUAGGUGUUAGACCCUUUCCGGGGUUUAGUGCCGUAGCUAACGCAUUAAGCACUCCGCCUGGGGAGUACGACCGCGANGGGUUG
rnacentral:rRNA from 1 species